UGCGUAGGGUGCGAGCGUUAAUCGGAAUUACUGGGCGUAAAGCGUGCGCAGGCGGUUAUGCAAGACAGAUGUGAAAUCCCCGGGCUCAACCUGGGAACUGCAUUUGUGACUGCAUGGCUAGAGUGCGGCAGAGGGGGAUGGAAUUCCAGGUGUAGCGGUGAAAUGCGUAGAUAUCUGGAGGAAUACCGGUGGCGAAGGCGGCAUCCUGGACCGACAUUGACGCUGAGGAGCGAAAGCUAGGGGAGCAAACGGG
rnacentral:rRNA from 1 species